rnacentral:rRNA from 1 species
CUUUUACAAUGAAGAGUUUGAUCCUGGCUCAGGAUGAACGCUAGCGACAGGCUUAACACAUGCAAGUCGAGGGGCAGCAUUUUAGUUUGCUUGCAAACUAAAGAUGGCGACCGGCGCACGGGUGAGUAACACGUAUCCAACCUGCCGAUAACUCGGGGAUAGCCUUUCGAAAGAAAGAUUAAUAUCCGAUGGUAUAUUAAAACCGCAUGGUUUUACUAUUAAAGAAUUUCGGUUAUCGAUGGGGAUGCGUUCCAUUAGUU